rnacentral:lncRNA from 13 species
GUCUGUCCGGAACGAGCGUUUCGAACGGCGGAACGCAGGUCCCAUGCCUAUGAAAUCUGUAAGUCCAUUCUACAUGGAAUGCAAAAACAAGAGAUCGCUGGACCAAUAAGCAACCAGCAUGAAGUCGCCAUAUUGCUUUAUAUAAGCUUCUUAUUGGUCGAACUGAACGUAGUUGCGCGCGUUAACCAACAAUCGCACGAUUGCAUCCGCCGUGCAUGCGCGAUUUACGUUCUGCCUUUUCACAUAUCGAUCGUUCAUUUUAUCUCGAGAACUUCUUGGAGAAGGUUGAUCGAAAAUCCAAAGUAAUCCGGCGAUUCCGGAGAGAUCUAGAAUCGUCUAAACGACGAGAUGAGAGCCAAGUGGCGUAAGAAGAGGAUGCGCAGGCUAAAGCGCAAGAGGAGGAAGAUGCGUGCGAGGUCCAAGUAAGCGGCUCCCCACCGUGAAUCUCUCAGUGAGGAAAACAGAUGUUUCACCAUUCGACGAACACUCCUAGCCAAUUGUGAAUCCUGAGGAAACAAAUUUUUAAUGGAUCCGUUUUUCGCAUAGAGAGCUUUUUGUACACGCAAAUCUUGUUUGGUUAAAUACAUCGACUACUCAAGACUA